ensembl:lncRNA
AACCUCAUGAUAGGGAAGAUGAAAAGUUCAAGAAACAUUGGUGAACAAUAAAUGUCAUAAUAUUUACAAUUAAAUCUAAGUGGAUAAUGACGGUUAACUGGAGAUUAUACUCUGUUAAGAAUUUUGAAACAGGAGAGAAACUGUGAGGAAAACCUUGAUAACUGUCUGGGAUUGAAAUCCUAUAAUCAUCUCUUAUAAGUUGAAGAUUUGGGCAAUAGGGAAGCCAGAGAGCAAGAGGAGAAGUUGGUGUGGUCCAUACAGGUCAGCCUCUUUGCAGGGGCUGGAAGAAUGAAUGGAGGAUGCAGAGAAGCCAGCAAACAAGAACAUCUUCUGGAAACAUCAGGAUGAUCUGACUCCAGGCACUGACACCAUCAUCCAUCAGAAGUCAUGACCUGUGAUUUGAGG